UAUCUCAAUGAUGUUUGGAUAUAUUUUGUGUUAAAAGUAGCCUGAUUUAUUGAUGAUAAUUCCAUAUCUGAGAGAUG
rnacentral:snoRNA from 1 species